GAUGAACGCUAGCUACAGGCUUAACACAUGCAAGUCGAGGGGUAACAAGAGAAAAGCUUGCUUUUCUUGUUGACGACCGGCGCACGGGUGAGUAACGCGUAUCCAACCUGCCUAUAACUAGGGAAUAACCUUGCGAAAGUAAGACUAAUACCCUAUGAUUUCCUUUGAUGACAUCAGAUUAGGAAUAAAGAUUUAUCGGUUAUAGAUGGGGAUGCGUCUGAUUAGCUUGUUGGCGGGGUAACGGCCCACCAAGGCAACGAUCAGUAGGGGUUCUGAGAGGAAGGGCCCCCACAUUGGAACUGAGACACGGUCCAAACUCCUACGGGAGGCAGCAGUGAGGAAUAUUGGUCAAUGGGCGGAAGCCUGAACCAGCCAAGUAGCGUGCAGGAUGACGGCCCUAUGGGUUGUAAACUGCUUUUAUACAGGAAUAAAGUUAGCCACGUGUGGUUAUUUGUAGGUACUGUAUGAAUAAGGACCGGCUAAUUCCGUGCCAGCCGCCGCCGUAACAC
rnacentral:rRNA from 1 species